CCAGCUCUAAAUACGGGUCUCUGUCAGUUCUAGGGAGUGCCUGUUGCCCCCAGCAAGGUCAUCAGGCCCCCCUACCAAUCGAGCUUUCAUCAAGAAGUACUGCGCCCCCAGGCAGGCGCAGGGCGAAACACCACAGCAGCAUUGGGAUGGCCGGUAGCGGGCAAUAGACACACCGCCACCACCUCUAGAGUUCACCUCAGCUCAUCCA
rnacentral:lncRNA from 1 species